GUACCUGACUGGUAAAUAGCCCAGUUAAUAGUAAGGGUGGUUGGUCUAUUUAGUGUGUAUUCUACGUGUACGUCAGCGGCUGCCCCUGUCCCUGUCCCCGGACUUCGACCUGCGCGCCCACGUGGAGUCUCUGGGUCACGGGGUGUCAGCUUGCACGGACCUGCGCCUGUCGUCGCGGCGCUGCGCCGGCUUCCUGACCAAGCGAGGCGGCCGCGUUAAGACCUGGAAGAAGAGGUGGUUCCUCUUCGACGUCGACCACCGAAGGCUGGCCUACUACGCAGAUUGUGACGAGAGGAAGCUGAAGGGCGUCAUCUACUUCCAGGCCGUAGAAGAGGUUUAUUAUGACCACCUGCGCACAGCCGCUUCCGUGAGUUGCCACGCGACACGCGUGAAUCAAGACACAUUUCAGAAACAAACGUCAACUUUUGAAUCCCAGGAACUUGACGAUGGUGGUGCCAAAUAAGGCCACCGCUCGGUGACACCUUGAGCUAAAGAGAAGCAAACUGCUAAAGUUACACCAGGAAGGUUGUCUAUUUUCUCGUCUAGUCUUGUUUUUUUUCCCCCAAAAUCCAAAUCGGAUCAGUAUAAAUCUACUUUAAUAGCGAGUUAAAUGAUGAAAUAAUUAGUGAAAUACAGAAACGAAAUAUUCUCAAGUUUUACCAACGUAUUGAAAUAAGUCAUACAAAUGUCCAUUUACCUACUUGAAAAAAAUACAAAAC